rnacentral:rRNA from 1 species
UACGUAGGGUCCGAGCGUUGUCCGGAAUUAUUGGGCGUAAAGGGCUCGUAGGCGGUUUGUCGCGUCGGGAGUGAAAACACGGGGCUUAACCCCGUGCCUGCUUCCGAUACGGGCAGACUAGAGGUAUGCAGGGGAGAACGGAAUUCCUGGUGUAGCGGUGAAAUGCGCAGAUAUCAGGAGGAACACCGGUGGCGAAGGCGGUUCUCUGGGCAUUACCUGACGCUGAGGAGCGAAAGCGUGGGUAGCAAACAGG